rnacentral:lncRNA from 1 species
CCCGUAACUCCCCGAUUUCCUUCCUCCGCCCAGGUAAGGUCCACGGCUCCCUCGCCCGCGCCGGCAAAGUGAGGGGCCAGACCCCCAAGGUGGCCAAGCAGGAGAAGAAGAAGAAGAAGACGGGGCGGGCCAAGCGGCGCAUGCAGUACAACCGGCGCUUCGUCAACGUCGUGCCCACCUUCGGCAAGAAGAAGGGCCCCAACGCCAACUCCUGAACCCCAAUAAAGGAAUUUGGGUCCAAUUCCCAGCAUUUUGGGGCUCUCUCAGCUUUUCUUGGCGCUCUCCUUGCGUUCUUCACGUUUCUUUUAAGUUGUUUAUGGAAUUUCCAAAGUGUUUUGGGGGUGAAACCGGCCGAGGGGGGUAAUCGGGGUCCCCAAGAGCUGACGGGAGGUUAAUUAGAGGGAAGCGUUAAUUUGCGGAGUGCUAAUGAGGAGACGCUGAGGAGAAUGAGUCUCUGUGGGGGAGGCGGAAAGAGCCGAGCGCUGCCGGAAAUGCCCGAGUGCAGCGGGGGCGGGGCUGAGGGAUCGGAGAAUGACCGGAAAUCCCCGAGUUGUGCCGAGGGACGCGGCGGACGGAGCCGAACGGUGACGGAAAUACCCGAAUUGUGCCGAGGGGCUCGGAGAGAGCCUGAAACACCCAGCGAGCGGAAGAGGCAGCUGAAAAGCGAUCAAGAGAUUUAAUUGAUCGCUCCGAACGCUUCCGAGCGGUGCCGGAAACUGCCGAGACUGAGGGGAGCCGAAGCACCCCCAAAACCCCCCGGGGGUUCCCCCUCACGGCCUCACCCGCCAGGGGGCGCCUCACACCCCUCGGCGUCUUUUCCCGCCUUUUCCGCCUCCCUCAGCGCUCGCGCCCCGCCCCCUUCCCGGCAUGCCCUGCGCGCUAUUUAAGGCCCCGUGAGGGGGCAAAGCGGCCAUUUUGUCCCAGCAGCGAGAGUGAGAGUAUUCAUUCCCGAAAAACGAUGCUUCUCUCGGAGGAUUCAAUCCCCUUCUGCCCCCCGGGGGUCCCGGAUGGGGUGAGCCCCUUCCCCCGUGGGGCAGAGCCGGGGGGCCCGAGGCCGGCUCGGGACUUCGGGGGGCACGAGGUGACGUCAACCAUCAACACACCUGGAGCCAGGUGCCGCAGGUGUCGGGGGGCUCAGGUGAGUCCGGCGCUUUCGGGGGGGCUUUGGGGGCGUUUUUGGGGUCCCCCCGCCGAGGAUGAGGCGAUACCGCCCCAGACUGAGCCCUGUGAUCGAGUGGUUCCUCCUGAGGCUGGGGGGGACCCCGGGGGGGUCUCUGAGAUUUGAGGGGGGUCUUGGGUUGUCAAACAAUUUGGGGAGGGUUUUAAAACAAUUUAAAAAAUUUUAUCCCCUGAAAUUAUUUUUUUUUUUUUUUUGCAGCUCUUGGAUCAUCGAUGCAAAUCAAUUUUUCAUCAAUGCAAAUAAAAAUCGUUAUUUUUGUUAAAAACCUUGAGUU